GACAAGCUAAAUUUUUACUUAAGUACUAACUACUCUAUCCCAAAAGAGAUUAAUCAGUCAGGCGACUGAUUUUUGUCAGUGCUGCGUAUCUCCCACCAACGAAUUGGUAAUAGCGUGAUCAUGUGGUUCUUGAUAUGCCGAUGGCAUCUUUCAAAAUUUGACAAAAGUGAUUUUUUUUCCCUUGAGUAUCUACUUAAAUAUUGGUUGUAUCAUUAAUGCUUAGUUACAAUAUAUUUUGAAAUAAUAAUUAUAUUUAGAUUAUUUUCAAGAAUAUAGUAUGAUACUGUGUUAUUAUGUUCUUUAAAUAAUAUUUUUGUUAACGUUAGACAUUUUUCAAUUUGGCCUUCUUAAUAUUUGCAUUAAUGUUUCUAUAGUCUAUUAAGAUAAAAUUUGUUUUAAUAUCUAUAUUUGAUUGUCUAUCCCUUGUUAUUCUGUGAUAACUACAUUUACUAUUGUCCCUUACCCAAACAACCUGAAUAAUUAGGUUCAGGUUAAGUCUAUUUUAUAAAUUGAUAUAAUAUAUAUUAUGUCAAAAUCAAUUAAUUAUUAUUGUUUCUUUUUAAUAUAGAUAUGUUUUUGGGCUGGAUAAUACUUUUUUUCUAACUGGUUUUACAAACAAUUAUGUGUAUUGCCAUAGUAACAAACAAAUAGCAAAAACAUCUAUAAUUCCUAAUGUUUCUUUGCAGAGAAAAAAUAUUGAUUGGCAUUCUUCUUUAGCUUUUUUUAAUCAUGUUUUCGCAGUUUAUCACAUUUUGCUAUUGUAAAUUAAACGUGUUUAUAUCCAUUAAAUGGUUUCUAAAAAUUAUUGUUUCAAUAUUGUAACCAGUUUCAUAUCAUUUUAUCAGUUCAGAAGUUGCUAAGUUUAAAUGCCAAGUCAGAUACUCAUACAAUAAAAAUCCCUAUAAAUGUAAACAUGAUCAAAAAAUUAAUAUUAUUGAUUCGAGUUCAAAAUCUAAAAUAAAUUGUUAUAUUUUUUUCUCUUGUUUUUGAGGUUAUUGCAUGAUAAAAGGUUAUUAUUGUCUGCAUAUUCAAGUGUUUUUAAUGCAGAAGCUCUGCUGCUUAACAUUAUUGUAUUACAGUGCUUCUCGGCCUUUAUUUUCGGUGACACCCUAAUUUAGAUCAAUAUAAAUGGUAUCACAUUUAAAACAAUUAAUGGAUUUUUGAACGAGUACCUAAUUAUUACAGACCUAUAAGUUCAUUGAGAACAGGACUAUCUUCACAAUUGUUUUUCUUAUAAAUUAUUAGUGAUGUUUUUGACCAUCAACCCAUAGACUAUCCCGAUAUAUCGAGGUAAUUAUUUAAUAAAUUCACAGUGUGUGAAAAACCCUAACAUUUUCCGGUAUUGAAAAAACCCCCUGGAUGAUUUCAUUUAAGUUUAAAAAGAGGAUGUCUGGUAACUAGGGUUGCUAACUCUUAUUUACAGAUAAGCGGGAAACCAGAUAUUUACAAGCAGGACUCGACAAAAAAAAACGGGACAAUACUACAAAUUUACAAAAUCGAAAGAAAAACAAUUUUAAUCAUUUUUAUCAGUUUUAUUUAAAAUUUGAAAUAAAAUUAACAGAAUAAUCAUCUUAAGUUUUUAACACAAUAUUAAUCAUUAAAUAAAACACUUUGCUCAGUUAAGAGUACCUUAUCACAAGACAAUUAGUUUUUCUUUUUGAAAGAGUACUUGUCUUGUGAUUCGGCACAUUUGAGCAUGUAGGAUUAAAAUAAAAAAAUGAACCAGGACUAAUAGACUAAAAACACUAAAUUACUCUAUUACUUAACAAAAUAAUUUUUUAAUUACAUAUCAUUUAAUAAGCAUAAGUUCUAAAAAUAACUACCCAUUCUAAAUAAUAUUACACUAAACGCUUAUGAUAACAAUAAUAAUUUAGAUGGAAUAAUCGAUGGAAAAUAAUUUCAAAUGCGCAAAAUACGAACAUUACGAACGUAAUAUUUAUAUUUAAUAGGACUUUGACAGGUUUACCUAGAAGCGGGAUAAUUAGCGUCCCGCGAACACGCAUAGCGGGACGCAAUAUUUGAGCCCUGUAGACGGUUGGCAACGCUACUGGUAACCCUCGCCAUAAUGCCAUAGUAAUGUCAUAUUUUGUUUAUA